GCAGGUUCGCCCUCUCCCCACCCGCCGCGUGCGCGUCGUGCCGUCUGCGGGAGCGUGGGGCAGGCCUCGUCCAAUCCCCUCGCCCGCACCCCUCCCUCCCUCCUCUUCCCUGGUCAGCCGCCAUUGGUGGGAAACCCUAGCCCAUUCUCCCAAUCAACACAGCCGCCACUCCUCUCCCUCCUCGCUCCCUCACCACAGCCGCAACCUAGGGGCUCCGUCGUUCCUUUCUAUGAGAUCCACCGCCUCCCGAGGUCCUAUCUGCCCUAGGUUGCGAGGAAGCCGCGGCAGGAGGAGAGACCUCGGUGCGAGGAAGGUGCGGAGGAGGAGCUCAACCAGGGCGUCGUCGGUCGGAGGAGGGAAGCAGAGGAUGCGAGCCAGGAGGCGGACCGGCUCGGCUCAGACAUGGAGCUGCCGCUGCGGCCUCCUCGCCGGCCUCCUUCGUCUUCAUGUGGGUUUGCUCGCGUGGCAAGUGGUGUUGCGUUGCCGAUGACACAGCCAGAAUUGCCGUUCAUGACGCCUGUAGUUGUUCCUGAAUUUUUCUUUCUAGUGGUUGGGUGCUGCCAUGAAACCUGUAACAGCAGCAAGAUGCAGUUCUCGACAAAUCGCUUUUAGAUCUGAGAAAGAAGAUGAACAGGAGAAUCCAAUAGAAGAAUUUGGUGAAGAACAAGGUGACUAACUCUCUCCUGUGAAUGUUCGUCUAUGUUUUGUAGAAAAUUGGUAGGUGACCUCAUAUUUGUGUUGCAGGUUACUUGUCUUCUUCUUUCUACCCAUCUGUUAAAAUUAUAGUGCAUUUUUUGUGGGACAACACAAUGCUCUUUGGAGUCAAGUUUUUUUAAAAUAUAUAUUCUAAUUGUUAUACUAUUAUUUAUCAAUUAAAGCAUGAUUGUUGUGUGCUCUAAUGAAGAUUAUCCUGGUGUUAUUUUCUUUGUGAGAAAAGAAAGAGACGACUUGAUGUGCACUUCUUAUCAUCACAUCAAAUGGAAUAAUCGAAUAGGGUUAUAUAUCAUCAUAUUUGCAUACAUAAUCUCUUUUAUUAUAAUUUAUCGAUGUAAUUGUUAUUAGAUGAUGAAUUUAUGUUUGCAUUUGUUAGUAACUUUAGGUUUGACCAAACAUAACUGCUUUCAAUGCUCAUCCAACAACAUACAGGAAAAGAAUACAAUCAUAAGGCUGAUGCUGCUUAUCAACAUCUUUGUAGUUUGUACACAAUAACCCAGAAGGAUUUGUAGGUAACCUUUUCAAAGUGAAUUUUACAUACCUUUGCCAAGAAAGGUUUGACAAGAUCUCUAUCACCAUGGAAACACCAUCAGAAGUAAGGAUUAUAUCAGCAUCAGAACAUAGAGCUGCAUCCAUAUGCUCCACAAGACUUCUUUCGGUAUCUUUUCCAAUACCCAAGUCAACCACUUUACACUUCUGCUGAAUAGCAAUAAUAAGUAGCACGGCCCAUUUAGAAUCACAAAUCUGAAAAUUUAGUUUCAAGCAGAGAGGUCAUGCAUUUUGCUAAAUACCGAAUGCAAAUAAAUGUGAAGGACACAAAUGUUGUGGAAUAGUAGAACUUUGACUGUGACAACUAACAUAUUCUCAAUUGCUUUCUGGGACUCAUUUUGUCCGAUACAAGUCCGCUUGCAAUUUUUGGGAGGAUACACAGUUCCUUUGCGUUCACCGCUCGGUCCUGUUCCUGCUUUGCUUACUGCUCCUGCAUGGUUCUUCAGGGUUGCGGAUGGAAGAGUACGUUAUUUCGACGGUCCUCUAUUUUUCUGUUGUGUGUGCCUUCAGGUCCAUCAGGUAUAAUUGUGCUUCACCUACCUUCCGUUGUUUUCUGUUGUCUUGGUGUUUUCCCUUUUGUUUAAUUCGUUGUUGUGUCGCUCGAGGGCAUUUUGAUUAGUCUGAAUUAUGCUUUUGCUUUAGCUAAGAUGAAUUUAUGAAUGGUUGCCUUUUUCUGUUGACUAAGUGUUUGUGUGUAGAGGUUCAUCUCCCCCCUUUUCAUUGUGCAGCAUUUUUUCCCACUUAGUUUACAUAUGUUUGUUGUUGGUAGUGUACUCUUCCUCAUGGAUUUUUGGGCGUUCAUGUUCUUUCUAUGCUUUAAGAAUGUUUAGUUCCAAUGGAAAAUAGGAUGUAUCAUGGAUCCAAAGAUGAGAGUAUAGUUGAUCCAUUUUCUUUGUGCUACAGAGUUAUUUGCCAUGUUCUUAUUUUUUAAAUGUGGCAAUGGACAACUUGUUUCACUACAACUUAAACUUGAAAAAUAAAAGAAAUGUAAUUUUGAAGGAAAAUGUAAAUAUAACAUAAAGAUUGUUGUUUGGGCGUUGUCCUGUGUGCAUGAUUAUGUGUGUGCUUAUGACCUAUUGGUGUGUUAUAUGGGUUAAGUAGUAAAGCAGUCUUGUUUAUGUUCAAAAACAGACCUAUUCAAUACGAUUUCACAAAGAGAUUCACAGCUACCAGUACCCAACAAUGCUUCAACCUUGUUUGUAUACCGUAUGUUUACCUCUUAAUUUCUUUUACCCUUUAGUUAUUAUGAUCACAUCCUUGUUUUAAAUUGUCUACUUACAUAAAAACGUUUGCUUACCCUGCCUAGCUGUCAACCAUGGUUUUAGUAUGCGGUUUAUUUCACUGUUAUAAGCCUUGCUAAGCAAAUAAAUACUGGACCAAAUCAGUGGCGCAUUGAAUCAGAAAACGAGGAUGAAAUAUAUAAGAAAAUGUGUACAAGUUCCAGUUUAGAGCUCAUGUACAUUCACUCUUGAUUUCUUGAUUCACUCGGUGAUGCAUAGUCUACAAGUGAAAUCCCCUUCCGUUAUAGAUUCCCCACUUCUUCAUGAGGCUAAUUAUUUUGAUAUAUAUACCAUAUGUAAUUACAUUUUUGGUUUUGAGAGUGCAAUGUGUAAAGUAGGGAAGGACUACCUACACUAGAUCAUUGACUGUCAACUAUUAAAAGGGGCAUUGUAAUUCAAGUAACAAUAUGUUCUGAUAGGGAAGGUCCACAAGUAAUAUGGCUGGAAGAAUGAUGUGAUUUGAUACUCUGCUAUGUUGAUCUUGAGAGAAAAUGUUUUAUUCUUAGUUUUUCUUAGAUGUACAUUGAUCUGUUGUGAAUAUUGUGCUCUCAAACAGUGUUUCCCCCCCGCUAAAUUGUUAUUAUUAGCUUGCUCCAUCCUGUUUUUUGUUGUUCUGUCCCCACCUUGAAGAUAUGUCCAGUAGUUCACUCAUGCCAUUAAUAUUUGACAGCUUUGUUCCUCUAUAGCGCUCCAGGUAUAUCUGCAAAGUGUCGCAUAAUAUUUGGUCCAAGCUUGCAAUUGUUCAGGUGAUUUGAACUUCCUUUAUCUUGAAUGGACUUGUACUCCAGCCAAAUUCAAGUGAUGAAAGCUCAGUUUCGUCCCUCCAGUGUACGUCCUGGUUUAUUAUAUGAUGAAUGCUUUCUACUCGCUUCCAUCUAUCAUGUGUUCAUAGUUUGAUUAAUGAUAAUGCUUUCUACGCACUUACCCUUCCUAGAUUAGUAGGGCCUUGGUCCACCAACCAAAAUCUCCCCUGUUUUAUUCUUUUGUGCUACUUGGGCCUUUUAAGGUCUGUUUUUUGUUCGCUUUGGGAAUAAAAAAGAGUUUCUUAAUUUUAGAUUUGAACAUUAGACAUAGAGGUAUGAGUCAGUGUACUGGUUUGACAAGUGGUAUUGUCAUAUUCACAUGUGCUUUGGAAAUAAGAAAAGAAUAAGUUGGUUUUUGGUUUGAAUGUCAUGCAAAAAUCAUACGAGUGAAGGGAGCUCUCAGUCCAUAAUCUGACUGUUAUUUGGCGUUGAGAUUCUUUCUUCUGCUCUUCUAAUAUUCCUGCCUGGGUGGCUUCACAUGUGCUUUCGUCUCUACAUGUGUUUUGCUACUUGGUUGAGACCUGCUCUUCUAUUGCCUCUCUACAUGUGUUUUGCUACAAACUUAUGUCUGAACCAAGAUUAGGUCUUACGACGGGAUAAGCCAAUCCCUAAAUAAUCUGGCAACAUUACUAGGAAGGAGGGGUUAUGUGCUGAUUGGUGUUUUAAGUUGUUGGUGGAGCUACACCUUUGAGCGGAUGCCGUUCGUUGUAGAUCCAGCGGCUCAACAUGCAUUCCUUCUUCAACUGAAGCUCCAACCUGAGCAAGGGCAUGGUAGCAGAUGAUGUCUUUAUGUGUCAGAAGAGGCGACCGGUUGGUUGAUUUUGUACACACAUUCUGUAAAUUAAACUUAGCAAUAAAGCUUCAGCAAGUGUGUUCUUUGUCAUCUCCCUUUCAUAUGUGUCACCUUCUGGUUCUUUAAUCUGUAUUGUACAACAUUUGACUAUCCAAUUAAUUUUUUGUAAACCAACUCAACAGCUUUGAAUCAAUGACCACAUGUGCAAGACAAUCUUGAAUA